GACGAACGCUGGCGGCGUGCUUAACACAUGCAAGUCGAACGGAAAGGCCCUGCUUUUGUGGUGUGCUCGAGUGGCGAACGGGUGAGUAACACGUGAGUAACCUGCCCUUGACUUUGGGAUAACUUCAGGAAACUGGGGCUAAUACCGGAUAGGAGCUCCUGCUGCAUGGUGGGGGUUGGAAAGUUUCGGCGGUUGGGGAUGGACUCGCGGCUUAUCAGCUUGUUGGUGGGGUAGUGGCUUACCAAGGCUUUGACGGGUAGCCGGCCUGAGAGGGUGACCGGCCACAUUGGGACUGGGAGACGGCCCAGACCCCUACGGGGGGCAGAGGGGGGGAAUAUUGCACAAGGGGCGAAGGCCGGAGGAAGCAAGCCCGCGUGCGGGAAGACGGCCUUGGGGUUGAAAACCGCUUUCGCCUGUAACGAAGGGUGAGGGACGGUAAUGGGUAAAGAAGCACCGGCUAACUACGU
rnacentral:rRNA from 1 species